rnacentral:lncRNA from 1 species
UGGAUACUCCAAACCCAAAACAAAGGUGGAUGCAGAAGUUCAAGCCUCUAAUUGCAGCAGAUCUACAGGAAAUAGAAGGCAGAGAAAAGCACUUCUAAAAGCUUUCCUGCCUUCACAGAACCUUGUUUCAGACAAGGACAAAAGGAAAAACCAUAUAUGCAAAAGCUGACUUUUGUUUUGUUUUUGUUUUGUUUUGAAACAGGUUCUGUGUACCCCUAGCUGUCCUGGAACUCACUCUGUAGACCAGGCUGGCCUUGAACUCAGAAAUCUGCCUGCCUCUGCCUCCCAAGUGCUGGAAUUUACAACCACGCCCCAAAAUAUGAACAAGCACAUGCACACAUACACCCCGAAGUCACACACACACACACACACACACACACACACACAGAGAGAGAGAGAGAGAGAGAGAGAGAGAGAGAGAACACAUACACAAAGGUUUAAGAUGUUUUAAACCCAGUUUUAUAAUUAAAGUAGAUUUCACAACAACACUUGGACUCUUCUAAAAGAUUUAGAUGGAUACAAUUUGACCCUGAUAUUGUCAUAAAUAUCACCAUCAUAAAUUAAAAUAGAGGCAACCUCACAUUUAUAUGCUUGUUACACAUAGGUAAUAGUGUAUGUUUUAAUUAAUUUAUCAUUAAAGAACCCUAGAAAUAAUGUUCACCUAUAAGUUUAGUGGAAGAAUAUAUCCUGAAACACAGAAACUAAUGGGGGUGGAAAACAGCAUUUGAACAUAGAAUAUCUCACAUCUAAAUAUGCUAUACUAAAAACAAAAUUUUUUUCUUGUAGUAUUAGAUGAUAACUAUUGAAUUAAAAUAAAAUAAUUUUUAUUGAACAAUACUACUCCCCAAAACAUUAAGUAGCUUUUAGCCAAAUGAGGUUAUAGUCACAGUCAGAAUUAAGGCUUGAAUGUUAAACUAACAAAGUUUAGUUUUUACAUUAAAAUCACAGAGCAUAUUAGACAAAAUGAGGGCAUGAGAGCAAUAGACAUUCUCAUUCAUGAAAGGUGCCCACUAUCAGGCCUCUUUCAUGUUGUGUAAAUGAUAGGAAUUGAGAUUGUUUAGUUGAUUCUAUAGAGAGAAUUUGUGGAAUAUGGUGGCUUAAGUAAGCAAAGGUUUUCCUUUCUCACAAAUUUAAAUUUCACACCUAGGCCAUUAAUAAUUUGGUGGCUCAGUGCUGUCAUUGUCUGUUACGGUCCUCUUGACUUUUCCCUCUCACUGGUAAGCUGCACCCAAAGCACCAGCAUCCAGAUCCGCUUUCAUCAGCAUUGAGCAAGGAUCAAAGGGAGGAAAGAGUGCUAGCAUACUAGUCUCUUUAUCGUAUAAAGAAAAUCCUAACUUCAAGAGGCCCCAGUUGACUUUGGUUUACACCUCACUGAGUAGAAUUGUAAAAUAUGUGGUACACAUAGACCAAGAACACACUACUAGCUUGCUGGUAAGAAUGAAGGUGCAAGUGAGUGAGAAGAAAUAUUUAUUCGUGUAACUGUUGUGCUAGGAAGGGUACAACAUGAACCCGGAAAUACCACCAAGAAGACUCCGGUGUAAUCACAUUAGGGUCUCUUUAUUACAAGCUCGAUCUUGGGCUCUCUGUCAACCCACAGCAAGAUGGGAAAGUGGAACAUCCCAUAGCCACGAUCAGGAUGAGAUCUUUUAGGGAAUCAGAGCAAGUGAGAUGGUGUCCAGUCUGGCAAGCAUCUAAUUGUAUGACUAUUGUAAGCUGAUGGGUGGGUGCUCGGCAGCAAAACCAUGAACAGUCACAAAUGGUCUGAAACAAUCAGACUAAUCUUUGACUGACUGUUGUUAGGACAUAGCUAGGGAGUAACUCUGGAGUAUGGGCCAAGGACAAGCCAUAGGGUCCUUCUUGGUACUUGGGUGUAACUUGAGUUCCAAGAUGGAGUAGGUUUGGCGUCUCAUAACUAAUACAAUUUGCCACAUACACACUAAGAGAAAAAAACUAUCAAAGCGCACACCCCAACUGAUUAUUUCAAAUACUACCAUGUAUUUGGAGCAACCACAACUCUGAAACACUGCUGUCAACAUAAUAUGGCAAAACUUUUUUUCUUCAGUGAGUUAUUUUAUGUUUAUGUGUAUGUACCUGAGUGUAAGUUUGUAUGCCCCCCAUACAUACAGAUGCCCUUGGAGCAAGAAGAGGUGGUUCAAUCCCCUGGAACUAGAGUGACAGGAAGUUGUGAGGCUCCUGAUGUGAGUGUUGAAAACUGAACUCAGGUCCUCUGAAAGACCAACAACUAUUCUU